AUACUUACCUGGCAGGGGGAACACCACGAUCAAGAAGGUGGUUUACCCAGAGUGAGGCUCUUCUAUUGCACACUUCAGUUGGCUUAACCCCUGUGAUUUCCCCAAAUGUGGGAAACACAGCUGCAUAAUUUAUGGUAAAAUGCACAGCUGCAGAGCUAUGAUAUU